rnacentral:rRNA from 1 species
AGAACGAACGCUGGCGGCAUGCCUAAUACAUGCAGGUCGAACGAACUCUUCGGAGUUAGUGGCGCACGGGUGCGUAACGCGUGGGAAUCUGCCCCUUGGUUCGGAAUAACAGUUGGAAACGACUGCUAAUACCGGAUGAUGACGAAAGUCCAAAGAUUUAUCGCCAAGGGAUGAGCCCGCGUAGGAUUAGCUAGUUGGUGAGGUAAAGGCUCACCAAGGCAACGAUCCUUAGCUGGUCUGAGAGGAUGAUCAGCCACACUGGGACUGAGACACGGCCCAGACUCCUACGGGAGGCAGCAGUAGGGAAUAUUGGACAAUGGGCGAAAGCCUGAUCCAGCAAUGCCGCGUGAGUGAUGAAGGCCUUAGGGUUGUAAAGCUCUUUUACCCGAGAUGAUAAUGACAGUAUCGGAGAAUAAGCCCCGGACUAAACGUCCGUAGCCAGCAGCCGC